CCCUUAGACGUUCUGGGCCGCACGCGCGCUACACUGACCGGUGCAACAAGCAUCCGUCCUUGGCCGACAGGCCCGGGCAAUCUUUGAACGCCGGUCGUGAUGGGGAUAGACUUUUGCAAUUUUUGGUCUUCAACGAGGAAUUCCUAGUAAACACAAGUCAUCAACUUGCAUUGAUUACGUCCCUGCCCUUUGUACACACCGCCCGUCGCACCUACCGAUUGAAUGGUCCGGUGAAGCCUCCGGAUUGGCGCGCACCUCGGUGCCGCCGAGAAGUUGGCUAAACCUUACCAUUUAGAGGAAGGUGAAGUCGUAACA
rnacentral:rRNA from 1 species